rnacentral:tRNA from 1 species
GUCAGAUUAGUUAAGCUUAUAACUUCUAAUUUGUAAUUAGGGAUCGACAUGCGUCAUCUGACU